CCCAAGCAGAAAUAAUCUCUCCUCUUUUUGUGUUUCCUCACAGUUUUUUACAUUUGACUUUUUACUCUACAUAUGGAUGAAUUGUACUAUAUCAUCUACUACUUUUUUUAGCCCUUUGCUUAUCUCUGUAUCUACAGUGAAGGCUGGGUUAAUUGAAUGACACAGACUAGAAUUGAAGUAAAGCAUUUUUUUCUAGUAAAUUCUACAAUCUUUGGUCCUUAUUGUAUAAAUGUGGUCAUAGAAAAGAUACCUUUCUCACUAUGGUUAACCUACAUUAAAAAAAACUAAGAAGGAGCACCGUGUUUAGUUACUGACACCUAAUCCUUUGUUUUUCUUAGACUUAGGUCAGCAGAAAUAUGAAGCCUGGUAAGACUGCCUGUAUUUCCAGGUUUUGUAACCCUGGUUUAUUCAUCAAACUAUUGUGAACUUUGGCCCAAUCAUGUUCUUUUGCAGCCUGUAUAUUUGUUUAUCAUUCACUUGCAUAGAAAAGAUACCACCUAUUGUAAAGAAUCUGUUUGUAGAAAUUGUAGAACAUGAAAGGAGGCUGGUUAGUCAAUACGCGUAUUUUGUGUUUCCCUAUAUAAUGACCAAUUGAUUUGUUUCAGGGUAAUCUCAGCUCUAACUGCUAAUCCAGAAAGGAAGUGCCUAAUCUUUACAGAACUACUGGAGUAAAAGGAUAAUGUUCCCAGAGAGAGGAG
rnacentral:lncRNA from 1 species